AUGAGACACAGGUCUACCACCUUCAUCAGUCUCACCUUUCCUAAGGAAAAGCAGAAGUUACUUGUGCCACAUGAUAUGAACAGGAAAGAAAUGGUCUGUUAAGGACAAGGAAUUGGAAAGUGGUUGGAAGCUGAUAAUCUGGUAUCAGGGUAAUGGCAGUGUAAUCUGGCAUUGCCCUGGGGAUUUCCUGUAAGAAGAAUAACAAAUUGUCUAGCAGGGUUAUCACAGCAAGCACAGCAAAUAUCAUGGGACAAGGAGGAAAGGGAAGAUCAUGGCUGCUACUCUAUAGCUUCGAUUGAAAACUGCAAAGCACUGCAGGUUUUCUCUCCCCUGGCCGACUGAGUGGAGUGACAGAGUGGCUUUGGGAGACACCUGGCCUCCAGAC